rnacentral:rRNA from 1 species
UACGUAGGGUGCUAGCGUUAAUCGGAAUUACUGGGCGUAAAGCGUGCGCAGGCGGUUUUGCAAGCCGGGUGUGAAAUCCCCGGGCUUAACCUGGGAAUGGCAUUUGGGACUGCAAGGCUGGAGUGCGGCAGAGGAGACUGGAAUUCCUGGUGUAGCAGUGAAAUGCGUAGAUAUCAGGAGGAACACCAGCGGCGAAGGCGGCGCUCUGGGCCGGUACUGACGCUGAGGAGCGAAAGCGUGGGGGGCAAACAGG